AGAAAAUAUACUAAUGGUGCUGAAGGGAAUAUUUCAGUCUGUAUGAUAAUUAAAUUUUUCAUGACAUUUUUAAUAGUUCUGAAGCUGGAAGUCUGAGACCAGGCUGCCACGAGCAUGGCCAGGAGCUGGCAAAACAGUCCAAAACGCAUGAAGUAGUGCAUCAAGAUCUGUGAGAAGAAUCUCCAUAGCUUAGAGUCAAAGGACCAGGAAGAAAGCUAACACAGACUAUGAGGCUUUGCACUGAAUGGCACUUCUAAGGGUCUCUUUCAAAAGCAUUUUCUUCCUCCCACGAAACAUAAAGAUCACAAGGGAUUAUAACAUGUGCUUAAAAGCAUUGGAAGAAAAACUAUAUACGUAAGUUGUAUUUGUGAACUUGUGAUA
rnacentral:lncRNA from 1 species